rnacentral:rRNA from 1 species
CCUACGGGAGGCAGCCGUGUUUCCUCUUCCUCACUUUUCUCCCUCCUUACUGAGCAAUGCCGCGUGAGUGAAGAAGGCCUUCGGGUUGUAAAACUCUGUCCUUAUCGAAGAGAGGUGGGUAUGUGAAUAAUGUACUCAUAGGACGGUAGAUAAGGAGGAAGCCUCGGCUAACUACGUGCCAGCAGCCGCGGUAAUACGUAGGGGGCGAGCGUUGUCCGGAAUCACUGGGCGUAAAGGGCGCGUAGGCGGUUUAAUAAGUCAGUGGUGAAAACUGAGGGCUCAACCCUCAGCCUGCCACUGAUACU